AGUAGUUUGAUCAUGGCUCGAGGACGAACGCUGGCGGCGUGCCUAACACAUGCAAGUCGAACGGGGGUUUUGCUUCGGUAGAACCCUAGUGGCGAACGGGUGAGUAACGCGUAGGCAACCUGCCCUUCAGACGGGGACAAGAUACCGAAAGGUGUUCUAAUACCGCAUAAGACCACAACGUCACAUGGCGAAGGGGUCAAAGGAGCAAUCCGGUGAAGGGUGGGCUCGCGUCCGAUUAGAUAGUUGGUGAGGUAACGGCCCACCAAGUCGACGAUCGGUAGCCGACCUGAGAGGGUGAUCGGCCACAUUGGGACUGAGACACGGCCCAGACUCC
rnacentral:rRNA from 1 species